GAUGAACGCUGGCGGCGUGCUUAACACAUGCAAGUCGAACGAUGAACCGGGUGCUUGCACGCGGGGAGUAGUGGCGAACGGGUGAGUAACACGUGAGCAACCUGCCCCUGACUCUGGGAUAAGCGCUGGAAACGGCGUCUAAUACAGGAUAUGUCCCGCCACCGCAUGUUGUCCGGGUGUAAAGAUUUUUCGGUUGGGGAUGGGCUCGCGGCCUAUCAGCUUGUUGGUGAGGUAAUGGCUCACCAAGGCGUCGACGGGUAGCCGGCCUGAGAGGGUGACCGGCCACACUGGGACUGAGACACGGCCCAGACUCCUACGGGAGGCAGCAGUGGGGAAUAUUGCACAAUGGGCGGAAGCCUGAUGCAGCAACGCCGCGUGAGGGAUGACGGCCUUCGGGUUGUAAACCUCUUUUAGCAGGGAAGAAGCGAGAGUGACGGUACCUGCAGAAAAAGCACCGGCUAACUACGUGCCAGCCGCCGCCGUAA
rnacentral:rRNA from 1 species